rnacentral:rRNA from 1 species
AACAGGGAUUGCCUUAGUAACGGCGAGUGAAGCGGCAACAGCUCAAAUUUGAAAGCUGGCUCCUUCGGAGUCCGCGUUGUAAUUUGUAGAGGAUGAUUCGGCGAGGGCUCCCGCCUAAGUCCCCUGGAACGGGGCGUCAUAGAGGGUGAGAAUCCCGUAUGCGGUGGGUUGCCUUAGCCAUGUGAAUCUCCUUCGACGAGUCGAGUUGUUUGGGAAUGCAGCUCUAAAUGGGAGGUAAAUUUCUUCUAAAGCUAAAUACCGGCCAGAGACCGAUAGCGCACAAGUAGAGUGAUCGAAAGAUGAAAAGCACUUUGGAAAGAGAGUUAAAAAGUACGUGAAAUUGUUGAAAGGGAAGCGCUUGCAGCCAGACUUGUCCGCAGUUGCUCAACCGGUCUCCUGACCGGUGUACUCUUCUGCGGCCAGGCCAGCAUCAGUUCGGGCGGUCGGAUAAAGGCCCUGGGAAUGUAGCUCCUCUCGGGGAGUGUUAUAGCCCAGGGUGGAAUGCGGCCAGCCUGGACUGAGGAUCUCGCUUCGGCUAGGAUGCUGGCGUAAUGGCUGUAAGCGGCCCGUCUUGAAACACGGACCAAGGAGUCUAACAUCUAUGCGAGUGUUUGGGUGUCAAACCCAUGCGCGUAAUGAAAGUGAACGGAGGUGGGAACCCUCACGGGUGCACCAUCGACCGAUCCUGAUGUCUUCGGAUGGAUUUGAGUAAGAGCAUAGCUGUUGGGACCCGAAAGAUGGUGAACUAUGCCUGAAUAGGGUGAAGCCAGAGGAAACUCUGGUGGAGGCUCGCAGCGGUUCUGACGUGCAAAUCGAUCGUCAAAUUUGGGUAUAGGGGCGAAAGACUAAUCGA